CAAGGCAGAACAGUGCCAGAGAAACUUCUCCAGCAAGGCUGUGGGACAAGACCAGCCAUGGACAGCCCACUGUUCAUAUUUGUAAAGGAGCUACCGGGCUGGGUUCUCUUUACUGGGAUUUUCCUGCCGGUGACUUUGCUUCUCCUCCUGCUCAUUGCCUACUUCAGGAUCAAGCUCUUGGAGGUUAAUGAGGAAUUGGCCACAGCCCGCAGCCCCCCAGAUGCUGCCCUGGAUUACUAUACCCAAUACCGUAAACUUAGAAGAAGAUUUAAACAAGAGAGAUCAAGGGCAAGAACCUAAUGACACCAAUGGGAGUGUUGCCUCAUGGAACAAGUUCCAAAGCAGCAUUCAGCUCUGCACGUUUAAAAAUAAUCAGCUGCAUCAACAAACCAUGGGGAAAAUCAAAUGGAGAGAAGUUAGCACAGAGCUGUGCAAGUGAAGCAGCUGCUUCUGCUAAAGAGACCUGGGCAACAGUUUUGUUUUCUCACAGGAGAGCUAGUAAACAGCACAUUACUCAGCUCAUCAGGCCUGACUGUGACUUAAUGUAAUAUACUUUAUUGGGUGGUUUACUAGACAGCAUUGGAAAAAAAAGCUUCCCACUCACUAUUCCUUAGACACUUACAUUGAGAAGGUAGCACUACAUGACUUUACGCAUCCAAAAGCCAGCAAAGCCCUCUGAUUCAGCAGGCCUUUUCUUGAGUCACAAGACCAGAGUGAUGCAUGAAGUUUUUCUUUUUUUUUUUCAAAAUGUUCACAUUGGAAAGAAGAGACAAGUCUUUCUAAAUUGAGGAGAAACUAUAGAGGCAUUUGCAGAGAGAAAGAUCCAGGAAAUAAAUUUUGAAAAGGACUUUUCUGUGUACUUUUCCUAACUCACGAAGUAUGUGCAGCAGACUUUGUAGCCAGAUAAUCCAGAUCGUCAUCCCUGCUACCAAACAGAAAACAGAACCAUGGAAGGAAGCAACAACUAUCUUAAAACAGUCCAAAUAAUUUUAGUUUGGAACCUGAAAGAAAACACUUUUAUUAACAGACUUUUUUUUAGCUAGCUUGUAAAAAUUCACAAGAUUUUUAUUUCACCUUUUUUUAUUAUUUGUUAUAAACAAAUUUAUUUGCAAUUUAACUAAAAAUAUGUCGGCCUUGGAGUAAGCCAAGGAAAGCAACUAUCGAUCAAAUAGCAUUCAAAUUCUCCAUGCCCAAGGGGUCACUAAAUUACAAUUAACUGCCAUUCCAUUUUCUCAGAUGCACCAUGCAUUGAGUUGCUUUACAUCUGCAUGUGCAGCUUACCAAACAUUGCAACGGACAGCUGAAGAAUACAUUGCAAAGUGAUUACUUAGAAAUAACUACUUUUAGAACUUCAUACUGAUGUAAAAGUAGAAAAAUGUUCAGGAUACUCAGAUACAGUGUGCUAAAGACAGGUUUCCAUAUCUAUAUUUAGGCUUCUAAUAAAUGUCUUGAUUUUCAGAAGUGUUGAAGACCAGCAGCUCCAACUGAAAUCAGCAGGAGGUGCUGGCUCUGUAGUACUUUUGAAGGUCAGGUCACUUACAUAUAAGCCUCUCUUUCGGCUCUGACAACUUUAGCCAUAGCAGAAGGAACACGAAGAGCAAAAGCUGAAUGCAAGAUCUGGAAAAGGCUUUCACUCUUGUCUUUUAUGGAAAUAAACUUAUUUAUAACAUACCCCUGUAACAGAUAUAGUAAGAACAGUACAAUAAGCUUGUUCCAGCUGCCAGAGAAAUCUGAAUGCUAUUUGACCUCUUGGUCCUUUGUCUCAGACUGGAAGUUACCUGAAAUGCCUAUUAUCUGUUAUCUAUGUGUCUCAAGGUGCUCUGUCUGAACAUCAUAAGAAAAAAACAACGUCCUUUUAAAACAUGCUGCAAUCAAAGGAGGAGUAUAUUUCCCUGCUAAUUUACAGGUCUUUUUCAUCAUGGCAAUUGCUAUCAGCAUUGUUUUUUUAGAGAUGGAUAAAAAGGUUAGAUUUUUCAAAAGCUCUUAGUGUUAACUUUGCUCUACUUCUAUUGAAAUCUGCACUCAGGUCCUGAAUGGAUAUAUGCUAACUAAGCAUGGGCGAUGGAAAGAAAUACUGGUUCUUUAUUUUGCCCUGAAAAACUGUGCUACCCAAUGGAAGUAUUGAGAUCUUUUUUUCAGCCUGUACUUGUGUCAAUGCAAACAAAUUAAGGCAUAUCAAAUAAAUAUCCGUGAAUGACA